rnacentral:rRNA from 1 species
GAUGAACGCUGGCGGCGUGCCUAAUACAUGCAAGUCGAGCGAACAGAUGAGGAGCUUGCUCCUCUGACGUUAGCGGCGGACGGGUGAGUAACACGUGGAUAACCUACCUAUAAGACUGGGAUAACUUCGGGAAACCGGAGCUAAUACCGGAUAAUAUAUUGAACCGCAUGGUUCAAUAGUGAAAGACGGUUUUGCUGUCACUUAUAGAUGGAUCCGCGCCGCAUUAGCUAGUUGGUAAGGUAACGGCUUACCAAGGCAACGAUGCGUAGCCGACCUGAGAGGGUGAUCAGCCACACUGGAACUGAGACACGGUCCAGACUCCUACGGGAGGCAGCAGUAGGGAAUCUUCCGCAAUGGGCGAAAGCCUGACGGAGCAACGCCGCGUGAGUGAUGAAGGUCUUCGGAUCGUAAAACUCUGUUAUUAGGGAAGAACAAAUGUGUAAUUAACUAUGCACGUCUUGACGGUACCUAAUCAGAAAGCCACGGCUAACUACGUG